rnacentral:misc_RNA from 1 species
GAUGAAGAACGUAGCGAAAUGCGAUACGUAAUGUGAAUUGCAGAAUUCAGUGAAUCAUCGAGUCUUUGAACGCACAUUGCGCCCUCUGGUAUUCCGGAGGGCAUGCCUGUCCGAGCGUCAUUGCGGCCCUCAAGCACGGCUUGUGUGUUGGGCCCCGCCCCCCGAUCCCGGGGGGCGGGCCCGAAAGGCAGCGGCGGCACCGCGUCCGGUCCUCGAGCGUAUGGGGCUUUGUCACCCGCUCUGUAGGCCCGGCCGGCGCUUGCCGAUCAACCAAACUUUUUUCCAGGUUGACCUCGGAUCAGGUAGGGAUACCCGCUGAACUUAAGCAUAUCAAUAAGCGGAGGA